AAAGAACCCCGGGAGGGGAGUGAAAGAGAACCUGAAACCAUAUGCCUACAAGAAGUCAGAGCCCGUUAAAGGGUGAUGGCGUGCCUUUUGUAGAAUGAACCGGCGAGUUACUGUAUGGAGCGAGGUUAAGCAGGAUAUGCGGAGCCGAAGCGAAAGCGAGUCUUAAGAGGGCGCGAGUUGCAUGCAGUAGACCCGAAACCGGGUGAUCUAGCCAUGACCAGGUUGAAGUUGGGGUAAAACCCGAUGGAGGACCGAACCGACCCCCGUUGAAACGUUGGCGGAUGAGUUGUGGCUAGGGGUGAAAUUCCAAUCGAACCCGGAGAUAGCUGGUUCUCCCCGAAAUAGCUUUAGGGCUAGCGUCGAGAGAAGAGUUGCGUGAAGGUAGAGCACUGAAUAUGUGAUGGCCCCAUCUCGGGGUACUGAGCAUAAUCAAACUGCGAAUGUCACGCCAACAUGCUCGGCAGUCAGACAGCGGGUGAUAAGGUCCGUUGUCAAGAGGGAAACAGCCCAGACCAUCAGCUAAGGUCCCAAAAUGUAUGCUAAGUGGAAAAGGAUGUGGGAUUUCUAAGACAACUAGGAUGUUGGCUCAGAAGCAGCCAUCCUUUAAAGAGUGCGUAACAGCUCACUAGUCGAAUGACUCUGCGCCGAUAAUUUACCGGGGCUAAGCAUACUACCGAAGCUAUGGAUCCCAAGGGAUGGUAGGGGAGCGUUCCAUGAACGGAGAAGUACGACCGAAAGGACGUGUGGAGAUCAUGGAAGAGAGAAUGCCGGUGUGAGUAGCGGAACGUGGGUGAGAAUCCCACGCACCGAAAACCCAAGGUUUCCAGAGGAAGGUUCGUCCGCUCUGGGUAAGUCGGGACCUAAGGCGAGGCCGAAAGGCGUAGUCGAUGGACAACAGGUAGAGAUUCCUGUACCCGUAUAUAUGUGAAGGAAUGACGGAGAGAGGAAGCUGCAGCCAGCGGCUGGAAGAGCUGGUGCAAGCGAGAUAUCGGGAUGGCAGGCAAAUCCACCAUCCGAAACGAGAAGGCGUGAAGCGUACGGAAAGCUACGGCGAGUACGGAAGGCAGUGGAGGAACUUCCAAGAAAAGUUUCUAACGUUAAGUAUAUAUGGCCCGUACCGAAAAUGGACACACAUGGGUGAGGAGAGAAUCCUAAGGUGAGCGAGAGAACUAUAGCUAAGGAACUCUGCAAAAUGACUCCGUAACUUAGGGAGAAGGAGUGCUCAUAGAGAUAUGAGCCGCAGUGAAACGGCCCAAGCGACUGUUUACCAAAAACACAGCUCUCUGCUAAGCCGCAAGGCGAAGUAUAGGGGGUGACGCCUGCCCGGUGCUGGAAGGUUAAGGGGAGGGGUUAACGCAAGUGAAGCCCUGAACUGAAGCCCCAGUAAACGGCGGCCGUAACUAUAACGGUCCUAAGGUAGCGAAAUUCCUUGUCAGGUAAGUUCUGACCC
rnacentral:rRNA from 1 species